AGAGGCGGGGCUUCCGCCAGCCAAUCCGCGGCAAUGCCGCCCUCGCCACGCCUCCGCGCCUUGCGGAUCAGGCAGCAGUUGCCGUGGCAACAGCUUGGCGCGAAGGCUGGCGUUGACGUCAACCGAGCGGGCGCGGGAGCUAGGGGCCGAAGCAGGGUCUGGAAAUGGGGGCGGGGUGGGGAAGGUGCACCCCCAAAGAAAUGGGUGAACCGGAAAAAUGCCCAAAAAUUAUGCCCCAAAGCAAAACCUAUGGGGGGAAUAAAAGAUAAACUUACACAUUUGACUAAACGACAAGAAAAAUGAAAAUCUGGGAAAACACACAUAGAGGUCUAAAGACGAACCACAGCGUGGACGAUGAGGCUACUCUGCCGGGAACGCACGAAAAAUGCUGGGUUAAUCCUACUAGUUAAUGACGAGCUCUUGCAAACCAACAAGGACCAAACCAGGCAGAAAACGGGCAAGAGGGACGCGACUAGCCACUCGCAGGGAAACGCGCGAGGACUGCCCGCGCGCACUGCCGUGGAGCCCGAGGAUCAGGAUACCGACAUGGGCCGUGGCCGGAGCCCACGCGGACCGAAUUGUGGCUUUUAUACCCAGAAGAACAGGGAGAGAGGGAGCCUGAUCAGCCAGGCAGAGGAGGUGCAGUGUGGAGUGGAGGCAGGAUCGCCGUCGAUGGGCAUCCCUGUGGGGCAGGCAGGAGCUCAUCCACCUGGACGAGGCAGUGAUUCUGACCCUGCGUGGGCUCCAGAGGCCCCUGUCUGCCAGUGCUGUGGGGGCCGUGGGAUGCUAACGCCUGGUUCCAGGUGAGAGGCCUGCAGCCCAGGGAGCUCAGCGUUCACUAACAAAGAGAGAAUGUCAGGACAGGCCCAGGGACACCGUGAAGGAGCUUCAGUUCGCACUUCCUGCCUCUGCACCUUCUCGCCUGGCGCCAGGGCCUGCAGUCCACGUGAUGCGCCCUCCCAGAGUGGGGCACCCCUGGCGCUACCUCUUCUAGAACUCCUCUGCCCAGAGAGACACCUCCUCUGGGAUCCUGGCAUGCGGGUGACUCAUGGCCCACAUGUAUUUAGCUGUGUUUUCCUCUCAGGGGGCCAAGGCAGAAUCACGGGCUCCGUCCUGGUCAGUGUCCUCUCCGCACCUGGCCCAUCUUGUCAGUCACCAGCCCAACCAAUCCUGCCUCCUAAAAUAGCUGCUUCAUCAGACCUAACCUCGUGGUUCCCAGCGUGACGAUGGCCCCGAGGCCCUCAGCUUGGAUCCCUGCCGCCGAAUCCCGUCCCCUUGCGGUUUACCCUUCAGCCCGUCCUCAUGUCUUUCCUGAAGUGAAAACCUGUCCAGCCCCUCCACAUCACCUCUGGGGUUCCUUUGCUGGGGACCCAGCUCCUCACGAAGGCUUACACUGAGCAGGGUCUGUUGCAAAGUAUGCAGUGGGCAGUAGUGGUGGCCUUCCCGUUCCAAGCCAGGACUGUGGGCCCUGGGGGAGGGUCUGUCCUCAUCAUCUCCUCAAACCCCUGCGUCUCCCGUGCCGCCUCCUUCCCUGGAACUGAGCUUACUGCCUGCCACUGUGCGGACCUCCAUGCUGAUGAGCCCGCAGCCUGGGGGCUGUUCCUGAUGCCGACCUGGCCCCUCUGUGUCCUCCAUUCUCCUGCAUCUCUUGGCCUCCCAGGCGGCUCCUGCUGAUCUUCCUUUGCUGGUUCUUAUUCCUCUGCUCUGGUGUCAACACCAACAGUGACUUAUCCCCCAUGUCACACCCAGAAAUCCGACCUGUGGCAUCAGGCCCAGGGCAGUUGAUAGUCCUAAGAAUCAGUGGAGUCAGCAGAAAAUAAAGGAGAUUAAAAUAUGCAUAAGAUGCCACCUGGAGGGGGCAGGGAGGAGGUGGUCCUAGUUCAGUGGCUGCAAGGUGCCCGUCAGGGUGGGCUCAGAUCUGCCUCAUGGGCACCGGCUGGUCCUCGCAGGUCUGUGGGCCCCUGUUCUCCAUCAGCUCCUGUCCCAGGCACCAAGGCUGAGGUGAGCAGCCACAGGAGGUCAGAUCCCUUCUUAAAACAGAACCUGAGGUGUGCACAGCCUCUGCCCGGCCUUCUCCAGGCAAGGAGGCACUGAUGGGAGGACGUCCAGGUACACGGGGCCCACAGGCUCACGGGGCCACAAUCAUUAGAGAGUUGAGAAUAGGAAAGGCCCCAUGAGCUCAGAAAAAGAUGGCUUGGCUCGCGGCCAGGAAAGCCAGUCGCUAUCAGCACUGGUUUCAAACCCGCCCAACUGAUGGAUGACGGCUCGCCUCAAGGAACACGCUUCUGCAAGCCAAAGCCCCUCGCUUGGCAGCGCGGAGCCCGUCAAGGAUGGACUCGCUCUGAUGAGCACGCCUCGGGGUGCCAACCAACCAACAAGGGCCUCACUUGAGAGCCCGCAGCCUUGCGGGUGACAUCAGCCCUUUAUGUCUCUGGAAGCCAGAGGACCUCACUCCAUGCUGCCCCCAGGCCCUCUCUAAAGCCAGACCAUUCUGCAGAGAGAGACAGCCUGAUUAGCACGGCUCUCCCUCACUGGGGAGGAAACAAACGCAGCCUUGUGCUCUCCCUUCAGAUGUGAGAUACCCAGGAUGUGUCCUUGUCCUCCUGUUAUCACCCCUCAGGGCUGCGACCACCAUGAAACAUCCGUUCUCCUCCUCCAAAGAUCCUUCGACAUCAAGGGCACCCGCCCCGCCUCCACGGGUUUCCUUCUGUCUCUGGCUGCUUCUCCUCGGCCCCAUGCUGGGUCUCAGGGUCUCGGGACUCACCCAGGAAGUGUCCUCCACCUUCUGUCUACACUCCCAGCCUUGGGGAGCUCAUCUGCCCUUUUGGUUUCCAAGGUCAUCUUCCUGUCAAGGGCUUUCCCAUGUUUGUCCCAAAGGCUGGUCUCCUGUGCUGAAGUAAGAGGGACUGGGGACCCCCGGGCUCACUUCCUAACUCUUUCCACCGAUGCCCUCUUACCUUGGCCUUUGAGGGUCUAACUGGCCUCCGGUGAGCCCAGUGCACAGAGCCACUGGCCUCCACCCCACCUCACACCCGCCUCGCUCCUCUAGCGCUGCCCCAAGGAGCUGGCUUGUGGGGCUGACCUGAAUCCAGGGUCAGAUUGAGGGCAUCAGUUCCACUCUUGACACUUUUGAGGACAGUGUCAGAGCCUCACCAGGAUGCGGGGCUGACAGGUCUCCUUUGUGGUGUUGUUUCGAGGUUCAGCAUUUAUGUGAGUGAGCCCGUGGGCGAGAAGGUGCGGCGUCUCGCACACAUGGGUGCCAGCUGCUGUUCACCCUAGGUUGGCUGAACCCCCAGUGCCUGCUGCAUUGAUCAGACAAAAACUCAACAGGCCAGUGUCGCUCCUCGUCUCUCCCUUCCCCCAACCCAGCCCAUUAGCAGGCCUCAGCUCAGCCUCCAGGUAGACUGGCGGUCAGCCCACUUCUCUCCCUCUCCUGGCCCGCCCUAGUCACACAUCCUCUGUGACAGAGAAUAACAGGCUCCUCAUCUCCAGUUCUGCCUCUUCACACCCAUUCUCUGCUUAGAAACACCUUUAAAGAGUCUGUCCCGUCACGCCAGCCCGCAGCUCACACUCCCGCAGGCAGCCGUCCCAGGUUUUAAGGAUGUGAAAUGCAAACCCCUCUCUUUUCUUGCGAGGGUCAUGCUACAGCCCUCUCAUUGAUCGACUGCCUGAGGACACCUAGGAUCCUCUUCCUGGAGCUCCUCACACUUGGGCUCUGGCACCUGGAGCCCUGCUGUGCACAACAGGCACUCAGUAAAGGACGGUGAGAGAGAGGUGUGCGUAGCUCAAAAUCCCCUUAAGAAUAGUCUUUUAAAAAAAUAUUUAUUUAUUUUAGUGGUAGUUGGACACAACACCUUUAUUUCACUUAUUUAUUUUUUUAUGUGGUGCUGAGGAUGGAACCCAGGGUCUCGCAGGUGCAAGGCGAGUGCUCCACCUCUGAGCCACAACCCCAGCCCCAAGAAUAGUCUUUACAGAUGUAUUCGCUUUAAGGAAAAGUGGGUGAAACUACAAUGUAUCGAAAUGCAAGCUACGGUUAUGUGUGACUAAUUAGAACAAGUUUUUUUUGUUUUUUUUUUUAAAUUGGGUGAAAAGACUCGCGAUGUUUCCAGUUUGUCUCUGGGUAUUCUGGUCUGCCUGUAGAUGAGUUUUGUUUUUCUUUCCCUUUGAUGCUCUUCUGUUAUUUCUAAAGUCACCACAAUGUAUUUCCUUUAUCAUGAGAAGAAUAAAAUGCUCUUAUUUAAAAGAGGA